rfam:Picea glauca, whole genome shotgun sequence.
ACAUGCCUACAACAUAAAGUUAAUGAACCAAAACCCAUUAGAACUUUGUAGUUAAGCGCACUCGGGAUAGAGUAGUAUUGUGAUGGAUGACUUCCCAGGAAGUCCUAGUGUUUUACAUGCC